rnacentral:rRNA from 1 species
GAUGAACGCUGGCGGCGUGCCUAAUACAUGCAAGUCGAGCGAACGGACGAGAAGCUUGCUUCUCUGAUGUUAGCGGCGGACGGGUGAGUAACACGUGGAUAACCUACCUAUAAGACUGGGAUAACUUCGGGAAACCGGAGCUAAUACCGGAUGAUAUUUUGAACCGCAUGGUUCAAAAGUGAAAGACGGUCUUGCUGUCACUUAUAGAUGGAUCCGCGCUGCAUUAGCUAGUUGGUAAGGUGACGGCUUACCAAGGCAACGAUGCAUAGCCGACCGGAGAGGGUGAUCGGCCACACUGGAACUGAGGCACGGUCCAGACUCCUACGGGAGGCAGCAGUAGGGAAUCUGCCGCAAUGGGCGAAAGCCUGACGGAGCAACGCCGCGUGAGUGAUGAAGGUCUUCGGAUCGUAAAACUCUGUUAUUAGGGAAGAACAUAUGUGUAAGUAACUGUGCACAUCUUGACGGUACCUAAUCAGAAAGCCACGGCUAACUACGUG